GAUCCUGGCUCAGGAUGAACGCUAGCUACAGGCUUAACACAUGCAAGUCGAGGGGCAGCAUGAUUGAAGCUUGCUUCAAUCGAUGGCGACCGGCGCACGGGUGAGUAACACGUAUCCAACCUGCCGAUAACUCGGGGAUAGCCUUUCGAAAGAAAGAUUAAUACCCGAUAGUAUAGUAUUUCCGCAUGGUUUUCACUAUUAAAGAACUUCGGUUAUCGAUGGGGAGUGCGUUCCAUUAGAUAG
rnacentral:rRNA from 1 species